ACGGGAGGCAGCAGUGGGGAAUAUUGGGCAAUGGGCGAAAGCCUGACCCAGCAACGCCGCGUGAAGGAAGAAGGUCUUCGGAUUGUAAACUUCUUUUAUGAGGGACGAAGGACGUGACGGUACCUCAUGAAUAAGCCACGGCUAACUACGUGCCAGCAGCCGCGGUAAUACGUAGGUGGCAAGCGUUAUCCGGAUUUACUGGGUGUAAAGGGCGCGUAGGCGGGGAUACAAGUCAGAUGUGAAAUCCAUGGGCUUAACUCAUGAACUGCAUUUGAAACUGUAUCUCUUGAGUGCUGGAGAGGUAGAUGGAAUUCCUUGUGUAGCGGUGAAAUGCGUAGAUAUAAGGAAGAACACCAGUGGCGAAGGCGGCUUACUGGACGGUAAAUGACGCUCAGGCUCGAAAGCGUGGGGAGCAAACAGGAUUAGAUACCCUGGUA
rnacentral:rRNA from 1 species